rnacentral:lncRNA from 10 species
UGUCUAUUUUGUUGGUUUAUUUAAAAGUAUCAACUUCUGGCUUUAUGUAUUAUUAGUUUUAGAGUUUUUCUACUUUGAAAUUCAUUUACUUCUUUAUUACUGCCCUAGUCAAAAAAAACACUUUAGUUUCUAUUUUUAAUCCUUAGGGCUUGUCGCGUUCUGUUUUUUUUCUUUUUUUGGUUGUUGUUAUUGUUUUGUUUUGUUUUUUUGUUUGUUUUUGCUUUCCUUUUCUCGCUCUCUCUUAAACAUUUGAGUACUUUCUUUCUUUCCCUUGUUUAGAUUUAUAUUAUUAUUAAAGUUAGAAUUUUAUUCUGGAUUCUGCUUCAGUUCAAUCCUGUAGACUCCAAU